UGGUCCUCCUCCUUGGAGUGAGGUUGUGUAUAAAAGGACAAGGGGUUGUAGAAAAUAAAUAUUUGCACACACAAAUUCUGGUAGAGUAAUUGGUGUGGAAAAUAGCUAAAGAUUGCAAUUUCGUAAUUCUGGAUUCUUCAUCUUUGAACGAAUUUUGUGGUAGCUUCAAUAAGCGCGACGUCACCGAAGCGAAGAAAGAGUCGUUGGUGCGAGGGUCAGCGGACUGACUAACUCCGCAGGAGCGGCCUUGGCCCCGCACGCGCAAAAUCACAGGUGCGACCAAGGCCCACAGGAGCGAGGGCUGCCGACGUGGCCAACUCCGCAGGAGCGACCAAAAGUAUCCUGAGCGGAGAAGUUGAAUUCUAGGAAUGAACACAUGCUUGCUAGCGACUGACCGGUUAUAAUUUCUGCAUGUGUGACGUUGUUGUUGAACCUGCAACAAAUCAUACUUGAAUACAAAUCUUAUGAUAUGAGCUCAGCAACUUCCUCUGUUUCAACUCAACAUAAUGUUCUCCUUGGAAAUUUUAGUCUGUUAAAGAUUUUUUUGUGAACAUAAUGAUGAAGGAUCUUGUAAUAUUUCUCUCCUUUCGGUGAUUCAUUUGCUUAUAUAAAU